rnacentral:rRNA from 1 species
AGAUUGAACGCUGGCGGCAUGCCUUACACAUGCAAGUCGAACGGCAGCACGGGAGCAAUCCUGGUGGCGAGUGGCGAACGGGUGAGUAAUACAUCGGAACGUGCCCAGUAGUGGGGGAUAACCCGGCGAAAGCCGGACUAAUACCGCAUACGACCUACGGGUGAAAGCAGGGGAUCGCAAGACCUUGCGCUAUUGGAGCGGCCGAUGUCAGAUUAGCUAGUUGGUAGGGGUAAAAGCCCA